rnacentral:misc_RNA from 1 species
ACAUACAGGGGGUAUUAAUUUGAAAAAGAAAA